rnacentral:tRNA from 1 species
ACUUAGAAGUGGGAUUUGAACCCACGCCCUCUUUCGAAGACCAGAACUUGAGUCUGGCGCCUUAGACCACUUGGCCAUCCUGAU